UCUCCAUUUCUCUCCCCAAAUCCGCUGCCUAGUCUCUCUCUACCCCCCAUGGCUGCCAUUUUCUCUCCAAGGAGCAAGAACACUCACUCUCCAUUGAAGGAAGGAGACCUUCAAGAGUACUAGAAUUGGUUCAAGGGAGGUUGUUCUAGGAGGAUCUCAAAGUUGAAGAUUUUUUGGUGAUCUAGUGAAAACAAAGGUAAGCUCAAAGGAAAAGUGGAUCACUGAGCGCUGGAAUUAAUCUGGGAGGAUGUACAUGUGAACCGACAUUUUAGGGAAUUUAUGUUUUGGGAAGUAGAAUCCAUCUGAUAACUAAGAAAUUGUUUUGGGAUUGUUGAA